CCUACGGGUGGCAGCAGUAGGGAAUAUUGCUCAAUGGGGGAAACCCUGAAGCAGCAACGCCGCGUGGAGGAUGAAGGUUUUCGGAUUGGUAACUCCUUUUGUUAGAGAAGAUAAUGACGGUAUCUAACGAAUAAGCAACGUCUAACUUCGUGCCAGCAGCCGCGGUAAUACGGAAGGUGCCAGCGUUACUCGGAAUCACUGGGCGUAAAGAGCGCGUAGGCGGGAUAGCAAGUCAGCUGUGAAAUCCUAUGGCUUAACCAUAGAACUGCAUUUGAAACUGUUAUUCUAGAGUAUGGGAGAGGUAGGUGGAAUUCGUGGUGUAGGGGUAAAAUGCGUAGAGAGCAAGAGGAAUACUCAUUGCGAAGGCGACCUGCUAGAACAUAACUGACGCUGAUGCGCGAAAGCGUGGGGAGCAAACAGGAUUAGAUACCCCAGUAGUC
rnacentral:rRNA from 1 species